rnacentral:tRNA from 1 species
GGUGGCUCAGUGGUAGAGAGCCUGCCUUGCAUGCAUGAGGCCCUGGGUUCAAUUCCUCAGCACCA